rnacentral:rRNA from 1 species
CCUACGGGGGCAGCAGUGGGGAAUAUUGCACAAUGGGCGCAAGCCUGAUGCAGCCAUGCCGCGUGUAUGAAGAAGGCCUUCGGGUUGUAAAGUACUUUCAGCGAGGAGGAAGGCAUUGUGGUUAAUAACCGCAGUGAUUGACGUUACUCGCAGAAGAAGCACCGGCUAACUCCGUGCCAGCAGCCGCGGUAAUACGGAGGGUGCAAGCGUGAAUCGGAAUUACUGGGCGUAAAGCGCACGCAGGCGGUCUGUCAAGUCGGAUGUGAAAUCCCCAGGCUCAACCUGGGAACUGCAUUCGAAACUGGCAGGCUAGAGUCUUGUAGAGGGGGGUAGAAUUCCAGGUGUAGCGGUGAAAUGCGUAGAGAUCGGGAGGAAUACCGGUGGCGAAGGCGGCCCCCUGGACAAAGACUGACGCUCAGGUGCGAAAGCGUGGGGAGCAAACAGGAUUAGAUACCCUUGUAGUC